rnacentral:rRNA from 1 species
CGGCAGGCCUAACACAUGCAAGUCGAGGGGUAAGGUCAGCUUGCUGAACACACGACCGGCGCACGGGUGAGUAUCGCGUUUGCAAUCUACCUCUAACUGGAGGAUAGCCCGAAGAAAUUCGGAUUAAUACUCCAUAAAGUCAUAAUUUCGCAUGUUAUUAUGAUUAAAGCUCCGGCGGUUAGAGAUGAGCAUGCGUGUCAUUAGCUUGUUGGUGAGGUAACAGCUCACCAAGGCAACGAUGACUAGGGGUUCUGAGAGGAUGAUCCCCCACACUGGUACUGAGACACGGACCAGACUCCUACGGGAGGCAGCAGUGAGGAAUAUUGGGCAAUGGGCGAAAGCCUGACCCAGCCAUGCCGCGUGCAGGAUGACUGCCCUAUGGGUUGUAAACUGCUUUUAUACGGGAAGAAUGGUUCCUACGUGUAGGGAUUUGACGGUACCGUAAGAAUAAGCAUCGGCUAACUCCGUGCCAGCAGCCGCGGUAAUACGGAGGAUGCAAGCGUUAUCCGGAUUCAUUGGGUUUAAAGGGUGCGCAGGCGGAAUAUUAAGUCAGUGGUGAAAUCCUGCAGCUUAACUGUAGAACUGCCAUUGAUACUGAUAUUCUUGAAUGUAGUUGAGGUGGGCGGAAUGUGUAAUGUAGCGGUGAAAUGCAUAGAUAUUACACAGAACACCGAUUGCGAAGGCAGCUCACUAAACUAACAUUGACGCUGAGGCACGAAAGCGUGGGGAGCGAACAGGAUUAGAUACCCUGGUAGUCCACGCUGUAAACUAUGAUCACUCGCUGUUGGCAAUACAUCGUCAGCGGCUGAGCGAAAGCAUUACGUUGAUCCACCUGGGGAUUAACGAUCGCAAGAUUGAAACUCAGAGGAAUUGACGGGGGGCCCGCACAAAGCGGAGGAAC